rnacentral:lncRNA from 1 species
UGCUAAAUCAAUCCAAUAGAUGAUUCAGUCAACCUUGUCUCCUAUGGGAAUUUCAGGUAUAACCUAUUCUAAUAAAUCUUGGUAUAUUGACUCUACUACGUCUAAUCAUAUGACGUCACCCACUAAUUUUUAUACUCUAUCUGCAUAUGAUGGUCUCUCUAAAGUUGAUAUCGUAGAUGAUUCUAGUCUAGACAUUACUGGAAUUGGUAAUAUUGUCGCUGAAAUUCAGAUCACGAUCGGAGAGCCUGGAGCUGUGGCACGUCCUCUCAAAAGAGAAAUCUGCAAGCAAGUCCUGGUCAGAGUUGGCUCCAAUGGGGGUCCUCCGAUGCUCAAGUCAGAUAACAGUGAAAACAGGUGAGGAGUGUAGAGAGAUUGUUCGUGCGCACCUUCGGGGGUCCCUUGGAUGUCCUUUUGUAGACGAAAGUUGAAGAACCAUUUUAAGAAAGGUUACGUGGCCAAUUUAGGCACGACGUGACGGGAUUUUCGAUCGAAAUUUCUGAGAAGGUUAUUACACCUGCCUUAUCCGUGCGGAAGCCAGUUAAAUAUCGCAGGCACUUUUGAAUUUUGAAAUAAGGACGCUAAUAGGAUAGAUGUCGGAGGCGUAUAUCGAAGGGGAGAGGCGUCUGGAGCUGAUUGGGUUCAGUGAAAUAAAAUCGGUGGAAGAUAAAGCAUGUUCCCGGUUGGAGUCGGGGAUCAACUAAUUCAGAUGUCCAGCCAUCUAUAGGUGUUGGAUAGAUGUCGGAUGUCGAUUGUUAAGAAGAUUGAGAUAGGAGUGAUGCCAAAGUCAAGAUAAGGCCGGAGUUAGAAAUAAGCCGAAGUUAGGAUCGAUCGAUACUAUGCAUAUGGUUUAGGGGGGAGCACUAGAAGCCUAGGAUGGUCAGGAGCCGAAGCCAAAAUCAGGCCAUAUCAUUUGUCCCUCUACUAGUCCAUGUCUUCAGCCCAAAUGGUAAAUAUCCCCCUAAUACAUACCCUCUUACUCUUGGGUUCGAUUCAGACGAAGGGA